rnacentral:antisense_RNA from 1 species
UUUCACCGAGCCGAGCCACAGCGGCCGCUCGGGGUCGCGGUCGCGGCCGUAGGUGGCCAGCAGCGCCCCGGCCUC